CAUCUCUCUGGCUUCGGUCACAGCCGUGACCACCAAUGUGUCGAAUAAGAGGUCAAAGCCUGAUAUUAAAAUGGAGCCCAGCGCAGGCCGGCCCAUGGAUUACCAAGUGAGCAUCACGG